rnacentral:rRNA from 1 species
GACGAACGCUGGCGGCGUGCCUAAUACAUGCAAGUCGAACGCAGUGGGUACGGUUGAGUAACACGUGGGUAACCUCCCAUCAGACGGGAUAACACUUCGAAACAGGUGCUAAACCGAUACUGAUGGAUGAACCCGGGGUGCAUUAGCUAGUUGGUGAGGUAACGGCUCGCCAAGGCCACGAUGCAUAGCCACCCUGCGAGGGUGAUCGUCCACAAUGGGACUGAUACCUGGCCCAGACUCCUACGGGAGGCAGCAGUAGGGAAUCUUCGGCGAUGGACGAAAGUCUGACCGAGAAACGCCGCGUGAGUGAAGAAGGUUUUCGGAUCGUAAAACUCUGUUGUUAGAGAAGCGGUAUCUAACCAGAAAGCCACGGCUAACUACGUGCCAGCAGCCGCGGUAAUUC